GUUUUUGCUAUUUUAAAAAAUUUACUGAAGUUGAGUAGAUUCACAAUGUUGUGUUGAUUUCUUCUGUACAGCGAAGUGACUCAGUUAUGCAUCAGUAUAUAUCUUCUUUUUCAUAUUCUAACUUUGGAAUUCUUGAUGAUGAUCCUCUAGAUAAUGAUGACAGCUCUGAGGAAAUGGAUGGAUGACCUUGCCUUUGAGAAUAUGGACAGCUGGAGAGGGAGAAAGAUCUCAGCCAGCAUUUAAGGCUGAAUAGAAGAUACAGAUAUAAGAGGGGGCAGGAGUUGCCAGAGAGGCCGGAGGAAAACUAAGAGAGCAACAAGAAGGAAGAAGAGAAGUGAGACUGUUGUAUCCCCUCCCUUUCAAAGAGGCUUCCUGAAAGUCCACACAUUGACCCUUGCAUCUCAUUGGCUGAAGCAUAGUCUGUAUCUGGGUGUAUCUGGCUGCAACGGAGUCUGGGAAAUGUCCUUUAGAGGUUGUGUGUAACUUCUCGAUAAAACUGGGGUUUUGUUACUGGGGCUCUGAAUGAAUAUUAAUAUAGAGUGCCAGCAGUCUCUUCUCCAGAGUUUGAAGUUUGAUUUUGGAAGAAGCAAGUUCGAAUCUGGCAUCAUCUAGCCGUGUGACUUUGAACUAAGAUUUCAUCACUAAAAUAAAAGAAUUGGACUGAAUGAUUUUUAACUUCCCUUCUAAUUGUAACUUUGCAUGAGUCUUUGACUUUGUCACAUAGUAAGGUAAGUAUAGUUUUCACAAAGAAAUAAGACUUAGAAGAAAAUAUUAUGGUAAGAAGAUGUCUAUCAAAUGUCUUAAAGUGAUUUUUGUCAUUGAUUCUUUUAAAACUUAUUCACAGAUACAGUUCUAUUCUUAUUUUUCAGAAUGCUUUCUUCCUAUAGAUGAUUUUAAUAGUAGCUCAAAAAGCAUAUGAAUUGCAUAAUACUCGUGUGCACAGAUGAACUUGAUAUUUACUUUAAUAAAUUAAAUAAAAAUAUUUAUUAUAAAAAUGUG
rnacentral:lncRNA from 1 species